rnacentral:rRNA from 1 species
UUGGGCGUAAAGCGCACGUAGGCGGUGUGUUAAGUUGGAUGUGAAAGCCCCGGGCUCAACCUGGGAAUUGCAUUCAAAACUGGUACGCUAGAGUAUGUGAGAGGGGGGUAGAAUUCCAAGUGUAGCGGUGAAAUGCGUAAAGAUUUGGAGGAAUACCAGUGGCGAAGGCGGCCCCCUGGCACAAUACUGACGCUCAGGUGCGAAAGCGUGGGGAGCAAACAGGAUUAAAUACCCUGGUAGUCCACGCCGUAAACGAUGUCAAC